rnacentral:rRNA from 1 species
GACGAACGCUGGCGGCGUGCCUAAUACAUGCAAGUAGAACGCUGAAGGAGGAGCUUGCUUCUUCGGAUGAGUUGCGAACGGGUGAGUAACGCGUAGGUAACCUGCCUGGUAGCGGGGGAUAACUAUUGGAAACGAUAGCUAAUACCGCAUAAGAGUAGAUGUUGCAUGACAUUUGCUUAAAAGGUGCAAUUGCAUCACUACCAGAUGGACCUGCGUUGUAUUAGCUAGUUGGUGGGGUAACGGCUUACCAAGGCGACGAUACAUAGCCGACCUGAGAGGGUGAUCGGCCACACUGGGACUGAGACACGGCCCAGACUCCUACGGGAGGCAGCAGUAGGGAAUCUUCGGCAAUAGACGGAAGUCUGACCGAGCAACGCCGCGUGAGUGAAGAAGGUUGUCGGAUCGUAAAGCUCUGUUGUAAGAGAAGAACGAGUGUGAGAGUGGAAAGUUCACACUGUGACGGUAUCUUACCAGAAAGGGACGGCUAACUACGUG